AUCCGAUGGGAGCUAACCUAGCUUCCCGCCCAGAGCCACGAGCUGCUGGCUUUCUUUCCCUUUUCGGCAUUGAGUGCAGUUCAAUUUAAUUUGUAGCUUAAAUAUAGCGCUAAAUCCUGUUUAUGGGUUUGGCGCUCAGUGUCAGAUAUUGUAUCCGGCCUUUGCUUUGUAGAGGGAAUAAUACCUCAAGAUGCCCAAAGGAGAGCGAAUUCAUCCUACAGAAGGGAAAUUAUCGUCACCAAAGGGAUCCCAAAGGCCUAAAAGUCACUCAAGUUUUAUUUAUUUAAUCCACCUUAGUCGCUGGAAGCCGAAUUAGGAUGGAGAGAAAAGAGUCAAAGAGAGCUCAAGUUUUAACACCUUCCCGAAUUGCACCUACAUUGCAUUUAUUCGUCAUCUUCAUUAUCUUCGUUAUCUCCCACAAGUGAGCGUGAAUUGUCGAAGCUCAGCUUGGCAGGCAGUUUUUCGGCUCGCUGACCUAGGCAAGAAGCCUCGGUCCACGAUCGGUCUAAUUUAAAUUAACUCGGCGGUACAAUAUAAAAUAAGAGUUUAAGCGCCGCACGAAAUGUAAAGUAAUUCAGAAAUCUAAAGAUCGGUCGAAGAAUGCGGAAUAACGGAUAAUUUAUAAAUUUCUUUUGUAAUUUUUUUUGUCUAGGUUAUGUGAAAUGAGCAUGUGAGUGUAAAAGAAAAAAACGGAAAAAGGAAAUGAUAGUAAAAAGGCCAGAAAGGCUUUAAUGGUGAGAGGCUACAGGUCCAGAUUGCUUUAAGCAAUAUUUAUUUUAAUUUUGUUUGGUGGAGCCUAAAGGAGAGAGAGAAAUGGCUGUUGGUUUUGCACAGUGGGUUGAUAGUGUAUAUAUGUAUAUAGAAAUUUUAAAUUUUUAGCUUAAGAUACACUUGUGGAAGCGCUUUCGUUGGUGG